AAUAGAAAGUUUCUUCCUUGGGCAAGGGGUAGGGAGAAGGAAUGUUUCUCUAAGAUAGAAAGAUCUACAAAAUCACUUCUUUAUAGACCAAGAGUAUGUCUCAGAGCCAUCAUCUUUAAGCCUUGGAAUUUUAAGAUGCAUAUUCCCUUCUCGUCGUAGAUCUCCUCGAUUAUACCACAAAAUGGCUAACCAAAGCAGCCACAGACAUCACUACACUAUGUCCGAGUUCUCCUGACUCACCUAGCUCCUCCUGCAGCAUGGCGUGUUCACUUCCAAGCGGGGCAGGUAACAAUUCAGAGCCCCCCAGUCCAACAAUGGUGCUAUACCAAGGCUACCUCAACCUCCUCCUCUGGGAUCUUGAAAACGUAGAAUUCCCAGAGACUCUGCUGAUGGACAGAAUCCGGCUCCAGGAACUG
rnacentral:sRNA from 1 species